GACGAACGCUGGCGGCGUGCUUAACACAUGCAAGUCGAACGGAAAGGCCCUGUUUUUGGGGGGUGCUCGAGCGGCGAACGGGUGAGUAACACGUGAGUAACCUGCCCUUGACUUUGGGAGAACUUCAGGAAACUGGGGACAAUACCGGAUAGGAGCCCCUGCUGCAUGGUGGGGGUUGGAAAGGUUCGGCGGUUGGGGAUGGACUCGCGGCUUAGCAGCCCGUUGGGGGGGUAGUGGCUCACAAAGGCGUGGACGGGUAGCCGGCCUGGGAGGGUGACCGGCCCCAUAGUCCCUGGGGUGCGGCCCGUGCGCAUUCUUGGGGCAGGGGCGGAGGAUUUUGCACAAUGGGCCGAGGCCGGGUACAGCGCCUCCGCGUUCGGGAUGACGGCCUUCGGGUUGGAAACCGCUUUCGCCUGUGACGAAGCGUGAUGGCCGGUACUGGGUAAAGAAGCACCGCUUACCUCCUU
rnacentral:rRNA from 1 species